rnacentral:lncRNA from 1 species
GCCUGAUCAAUUUUGAUUGGUAUCUAAGAAAAGCAACAGAGGGACCUCCACGCAUCUUAACUUACCUCGCCAUCUUGGGAGAUUCAGUUUCAUGUUAGGUUACUUGUUGACUCGAGUUCACCCAUGCCAACUAGGAUGGUUAGAUAUAUUGAUGUGCUGACCUGAUUUAAUCGGUCGGAUAUCAGAUCUACUAAUUUAGAAGAGAUCUAAACUCAAAUUUUCUCAUUAAAUAUUAAGUCUAG